UNUGAAGUUAAAGGCUGUGGCUCAACCAUAGUUCGCUUUGGAAACUGUCAAACUUGAGUGCAGAAGGGGAGAGUGGAAUUCCAUGUGUAGCGGUGAAAUGCGUAGAUAUAUGGAGGAACACCGGUGGCGAAAGCGGCUCUCUGGUCUGUAACUGACGCUGAGGCUCGAAAGCGUGGGGAGCGAACAGGAUUAGAUACCCUGGUAGUNCACGCCAUAAACGAUGAGUGCUAGGUGUUGGGUCCUUUCCGGGAUUCAGUGCCGCAGCUAACGCAUUAAGCACUCCGCCUGGGGAGUACGACCGCAAGGUUGAAACUCAAAGGAAUUGACGGGGGCCCGCACAAGCGGUGGAGCAUGUGGUUUAAUUCGAAGCAACGCGAAGAACCUUACCAGGUCUUGACAUCCCGAUGCUAUUUCUAGAGAUAGGAAGUUACUUCGGUACAUCGGUGACAGGUGGUGCAUGGUUGUCGUCAGCUCGUGUCGUGAGAUGUUGGGUUAANNCCCGCAACGAGCGCAACCCCUAUUGUUAGUUGCCAUCAUUCAGUUGGGCACUCUAGCGAGACUGCCGGUAAUAAACCGGAGGAAGGUGGGGAUGACGUCAAAUCAUCAUGCCCCUUAUGACCUGGGCUACACACGUGCUACAAUGGUUGGUACAACGAGUUGCGAGUCGGUGACGGCGAGCUAAUCUCUUAAAGCCAAUCUCAGUUCGGAUUGUAGGCUGCAACUCGCCUACAUGAAGUCGGAAUCGCUAGUAAUCGCGGAUCAGCACGCCGCGGUGAAUACGUUCCCGGGCCUUNU
rnacentral:rRNA from 1 species